rnacentral:rRNA from 1 species
CCUACGGGAGGCUGCAGUGGGGUAUAUUGCACAAUGGGGGGAACCCUGAUGCAGCGACGCCGCGUGGGUGAAGGAGUAUUUCGGUAUGUAAAGCCCUAUGAGUAGGGAAGAAGAAGGAUGGUACCUGACUGAGAAGCACCGGCUAAAUACGGACCAGCAGCCGCGGUAAUACGUAUGGUGUAAGCGUUAUCUGGAUUUACUGGGUGUAAAGGGAGCGCAGGCGGCGCGUUAAGCCUGGUGUGAAAGUCCGCGGCCCAACCGCGGGACUGCAUUGGGAACUGGCGCGCUGGAGUGCCGGAGGGGUAGGCGGAAUUCCGAGUGUAGCGGUGAAAUGCGUAGAUAUUAGGAGGAACACCAGUGGCGAAGGCGGCCUACUUGACUUUGACUGACGCUGAGGCUCGAAAGCGUGGGGAGCAAACAGGAUUAGAUACCCUUGUAGUC